GCUCAGAACGAACGCUGGCGGCGCGUUUUAAGCAUGCAAGUCGAACGGUAGUAGGGUGCUUGCACCCUAUGAGAGUGGCGGACGGGUGAGUAACACGUAGGUGAUCUGCCCUUGAGUUGGGGAUAGCCCAUGGAAACAUGGGGUAAUACCGAAUACGGUCCGGGAACUGUAGUUUCUGGAAGAAAAGCGCUUCGGCGCUGCUCNAGGAUGAGCCUGCGGCUGAUUAGCUAGUUGGUGGGGUAAUGGCUCACCAAGGCGACGAUCAGUAGCCGGCCUGAGAGGGUGAACGGCCACACUGGGACUGAGAUACGGCCCAGACUCCUACGGGAGGCANCAGCUAAGAAUCUUCCGCAAUGGACGAAAGUCUGACGGAGCGACGCCGCGUGGGUGAUGAAGGCCGGAAGGUUGUAAAGCCCUUUUCUGAUUGAGGAAUAAGCACAGGAGGCAAUGCCUGUGUGAUGACGGUAGGUCAGGAAUAAGCCCCGGCCAAUUACGUGCCAGCAGCCGCGGUAACACGUAUGGGGCGAGCGUUGUUCGGAAUCAUUGGGCGUAAAGGGCGCGCAGGCGGUUAUACAAGCCUGGUGUGAAAGACCGCAGCUCAACUGCGGGAGCGCGCUGGGAACUGUAUGACUAGAGUUCAAGAGGGGAAGCUGGAAUUCCUGGUGUAGGGGUGAAAUCUGUAGAGAUCAGGAAGAACAUCAGUGG
rnacentral:rRNA from 1 species